rnacentral:rRNA from 1 species
UCGUAACAAGGUUUNCGUAGGUGAANCUGCGGAAGGAUCAUUG